GAUGAACGCUGGCGGCGUGCCUAAUACAUGCAAGUCGAGCGAACGGACGAGAAGCUUGCUUCUCUGAUGUUAGCGGCGGACGGGUGAGUAACACGUGGAUAACCUACCUAUAAGACUGGGAUAACUUCGGGAAACCGUAGCUAAUACCGGAUAAUAUUUUGAACCGCAUGGUUCAAAAGUGAAAGACGGUCUUGCUGUCACUUAUAGAUGGAUCCGCGCUGCAUUAGCUAGUUGGUAAGGUAACGGCUUACCAAGGCAACGAUGCAUAGCCGACCUGAGAGGGGGAUCGGCCACACUGGAGCGGAGACGCGGUCCAGACGCCUACGGGAGGCAGCAGUAGGGAAUCUGCCGCAAUGGGCGAAAGCCUGACGGAGCAACGCCGCGUGAGUGAUGAAGGUCUUCGGAUCGUAAAACUCUGUUAUGAGGGAAGAACAUAUGUGGAAGUAACUGUGCACAUCGUGACGGUACCUAAUCAGAAAGCCACGGCUAACUACGUG
rnacentral:rRNA from 1 species